ensembl:snRNA U4 U4 spliceosomal RNA
AGCUUCAUGCAGUGACAGUAUCGUUGCCAAUGAGUUUAUCCAGGAGCGAUUAUUGCUAAUUGAAAACUUUUCCCAAUACCUGGCCGUGACAACUUGCAAUAUAGUUGGCAUUGGCAAUUUUUGACAGUCUCUAUGGAGA